rnacentral:rRNA from 1 species
AUGCACGUGUAAGUACAUGCUUUCAUACAGUGAAACUGCGAAUGGCUCAUUAAAUCAUAUGUGAUUUCUUAGAUCGUAAUCAAUGCCUGCGGGUGUUGAGUCGGAUAACUGUGGUAAUUCUAGAGCUAAUACAUGCAAUCAAGCUCAGACCUUCGGGGACGAGCGCUCUUAUUAGACCAAGGCCAACCCGUGGGGCAACCUGCGGCGCUUGGUGGUGACUCUGGAUAAAACAAGUUGAUCGCACGACCUCAAGUGUCGGCGACGUAUCUUUCAAGCGUAUGCCCUAUCAUCUAUAGUCGAUACGUUAGGUGCCUAUCGAGGACGUAACGGGUAGCGAGGAAUCAGGGUUCGAUUUCGGAGAGGGGGCAUGAGAAAUUGCCACCACAUCCAAGGAAGGCAGCAGGCGCGUAAAUUACCCAAUCCCGACAUGGGGAGGUAGUGACGAAAAAUAACAAUACGGGACUCUUUCGAGGCCCCGUAAUUGGAAUGAGCACAGUCUAAAUCCUUUAGCGAGGAUCUAUUGGAGGGCAAGUCUGGUGCCAGCAGCCGCGGUAAUUCCAGCUCCAAUAGCGUAUAUUAAAGUUGCUGCAGUUAAAAAGCUCGUAGUUGGAUCUCGGGUUCGGCGGGGUGGUCCUGUUCACGCAGGCUUACUGCCCUUUGCUGUCCUCACCAGUGGCAGUUGUAAUGUUCAUCUGAACUUAUUCGCCUCGGGUGCCCUUAACUGGGUGCCCGUUGGCGGCCACUGCGUUUACCUUGAUGAAAGCAGAGUGUUCAAGGCAGGUCAUGAAGCUCGAAUAUGUGUGCAUGGAAUAAUGGAAAAUGAUCGAGUAGCCAAUUCUAGUUGGCCUUUGGUUGCAAGGUAAUGAUUGAGAGGGACUGCCGGGGGCAUUAGUAUGGCGGCGCU